rnacentral:rRNA from 2 species
GGAAAGAUGAAAAGAACUUUGAAAAGAGAGUUAAACAGUACGUGAAAUUGUUGAAAGGGAAACGAUUGAAGUCAGUCAUACCAACGGGAAGUCAACCUUUUGAAGCUUUGUCUCGUGGGUUCGAAGAGUUUUAAACGCCUUCGGGUUCGCGAGAUUGGGAUCUUCUGGUGUACUUUCUCGUACGGUUAGUCAACAUCGGUUUUGAAUGUCAUAAAAUGACUGGAGGAAUGUAGCUUCGAUCUCGUAUCGAAGUGUUAUAGCCUUUGGUAAAUGUGAUGUUUGAGACCGAGGAUUGCAACGGAUACCCUUCAUGGGCUAUUCGUCUGAUCUCUGAUACGUUGCCUUGACGUUGAAAGCUUGCUUACGAUGUUAGGGUAUUACGAUCAAAAGGUUAGAACGGAUUAAAUUCGUUAAGGAUGUUGACGUAAUGACUUUAAACGACCCGUCUUGAAACACGGACCA